UCAGGAUGAACGCUGGCGGCGUGCUUAACACAUGCAAGUCGAACGAAGCAUUCCAACUCUCGGAGGAAGAAAUGACUGAGUGGCGGACGGGUGAGUAACGCGUGGAUAACCUGCCUCACACUGGGGGAUAGCAGCUGGAAACGGCUGGUAAUACCGCAUAAGACCACAGCACCGCAUGGUGCAGGGGUAAAAGAUUUAUCGGUGUGAGAUGGAUCCGCGUCUGAUUAGCCAGUUGGCGGGGUAACGGCCCACCAAAGCGACGAUCAGUAGCCGGCCUGAGAGGGUGAACGGCCACAUUGGGACUGAGACACGGCCCAAACUCCUACGGGAGGCAGCAGUGGGGAAUAUUGCACAAUGGGCGCAAGCCUGAUGCAGCCAACGCCGCGUGAGUGAAGAAGUAUUUCGGUAUGUAAAGCUCUAUCGGCAGGGAAGAAAGGCCCGAAAGGGAGAUGACGGUACCUGACUAAGAAGCCCCGGCUAACUACGUGCCAGCAGCCGC
rnacentral:rRNA from 1 species